rnacentral:rRNA from 1 species
GAUGAACGCUGGCGGCGUGCUUAACACAUGCAAGUCGAACGAUGAAGAAGAGCUUGCUCUUCGGAUUAGUGGCGAACGGGUGAGUAACACGUGACUAACCUGCCCCUUUCUCUGGGAUAACGCUCCGAAAGGAGUGCUAAUACCGGAUACUCACAUCGAGGCACAUGCCUUGAUGUGGAAAGUUUUUCGGAAAGGGAUGGAGUCGCGGCCUAUCAGCUUGUUGGUGAGGUAACGGCUCACCAAGGCGACGACGGGUAGCCGGCCUGAGAGGGCGACCGGCCACACUGGGACUGAGACACGGCCCAGACUCCUACGGGAGGCAGCAGUGGGGAAUAUUGCACAAUGGGCGAAAGCCUGAUGCAGCGACGCCGCGUGGGGGAUGAAGGUCUUCGGAUUGUAAACCUCUUUCAGUAGGGACGAAGCGAAAGUGGCGGUACCUAAAGAAGAAGCACCGGCUAACUACGUGCCAGCCGCCGCUGUAA